AGAGUUUGAUCCUGGCUCAGAUUGAACGCUGGCGGCAUGCCUUACACAUGCAAGUCGAACGGCAGCGCGGACUUCGGUCUGGCGGCGAGUGGCGAACGGGUGAGUAAUACAUCGGAACGUACCCUGUUGUGGGGGAUAACUAGUCGAAAGAUUAGCUAAUACCGCAUACGACCUGAGGGUGAAAGUGGGGGACCGCAAGGCCUCACGCAGCAGGAGCGGCCGAUGUCUGAUUAGCUAGUUGGUGGGGUAAAGGCCCACCAAGGCGACGAUCAGUAGCUGGUCUGAGAGGACGAUCAGCCACACUGGGACUGAGACACGGCCCAGACUCCUACGGGAGGCAGCAGUGGGGAAUUUUGGACAAUGGGGGCAACCCUGAUCCAGCAAUGCCGCGUGUGUGAAGAAGGCCUUCGGGUUGUAAAGCACUUUUGUCCGGAAAGAAAUCGCGCUGGUUAAUACCUGGCGUGGAUGACGGUACCGGAAGAAUAAGCACCGGCUAACUAAGUG
rnacentral:rRNA from 1 species